GAUGAACGCUGGCGGCGUGCCUAAUACAUGCAAGUCGAGCGAACAGACGAGGAGCUUGCUCCUCUGAUGUUAGCGGCGGACGGGUGAGUAACACGUGGAUAAGCUACCUAUAAGACUGGGAUAACUUCGGGAAACCGGAGCUAAUACCGGAUAACAUGUUGAACCGCAUGGUUCAACAGUGAAAGACGGUCUUGCUGUCACUUAUAGAUGGAUCCGCGCCGCAUUAGCUAGUUGGUAAGGUAACGGCUUACCAAGGCAACGAUGCGUAGCCGACCUGAGAGGGGGAACGGCCCCACUGGAACUGAGACACGGUCCAGACUCCUACGGGAGGCAGCAGUAGGGAAUCUUCCGCAAUGGGCGAAAGCCUGACGGAGCAACGCCGCGUGAGUGAAGAAGGUCUUCGGAUCGUAAAACUCUGUUAUUAGGGAAGAACAAAUGUGUAAGUAACUAUGCACGUCUUGACGGUACCUAAUCAGAAAGCCACGGCUAACUACGUG
rnacentral:rRNA from 1 species